rnacentral:misc_RNA from 1 species
CGUUGCCAAAACUGAUAUGCACACAAGUUUCCAAUUAACACCAUCUCCUUUCGACCAAGUUUCACAAUGUUGUUACAAUCACCACCAAAGUAGCGGAAUGUGUACUCUGUAAACAAAUGUUCUUCUCCAAAAGGAUGAAGAAUCGGUAGAGGCUGUGUAUCCAUCAAUAUACCCAUCAGAAUGCCUUCACGCAACAAUCCAAUAUCUCCGAACUUGAGUAUAAGAACAGAGGCAUCAAAGGACAAUGAGAAGCUAGCAAGCAACCUUCCAUAAAACGAAGGCUCAUACCGGCCUCUAGUAGAGAUUCUCAGUGCUUUUAUGCGAACAAGCAAGUUUAAUGCUUCUUCAAC